rnacentral:rRNA from 1 species
AAUGGCCUACCAAGGCGACGAUCAGUAGCCGGCCUGAGAGGGUGAACGGCCACACUGGGACUGAGACACGGCCCAGACUCCUACGGGAGGCAGCAGUGGGGAAUCUUCCGCAAUGGACGAAAGUCUGACGGAGCAACGCCGCGUGUAUGAUGAAGGUCUUCGGAUUGUAAAGUACUGUUUUUAGGGAAGAACGGUCUCUUCAGGAAUAUGGAGGAGACAUGACGGUCACCUAAGGAGGAAGCCCCGGCUAACUACGUGCCAGCAGCCGCGGUAAUACGUAGGGGGCGAGCGUUGUCCGGAAUUAUUGGGCGUAAAGGGCGCGUAGGCGGGUAUUUAAGUCCGGUGUGAAAGAUCAGGGCUCAACCCUGAGAGUGCAUCGGAAACUGGGUAU